UACGAAGGGGGCUAGCGUUGCUCGGAAUCACUGGGCGUAAAGGGUGCGUAGGCGGGUCUUUAAGUCAGGGGUGAAAUCCUGGAGCUCAACUCCAGCACUGCCUUUGAUACUGAAGAUCUUGAGUUCGGGAGAGGUGAGUGGAACUGCGAGUGUAGAGGUGAAAUUCGUAGAUAUUCGCAAGAACACCAGUGGCGAAGGCGGCUCACUGGCCCGAUACUGACGCUGAGGCACGAAAGCGUGGGGAGCAAACAGG
rnacentral:rRNA from 1 species